AUACGGAGGGUGCAAGCGUUGUCCGGAUUUAUUGGGUUUAAAGGGUGUGUAGGCGGUGUAUUAAGUCAGUGGUGAAAGCCUGCGGCUCAACAGUAGAACUGCCAUUGAUACUGACACACUUGAGUAUGGACGAGGUAGGCGGAAUUUAUGGUGUAGCGGUGAAAUGCAUAGAUACCAUAAAGAACACCGAUAGCGAAGGCAGCUUACUAGGCCAUAACUGACGCUGAGGCACGAAAGCGUGGGGAGCGAACAGGAUUAGAAACCCCGGUAGUCC
rnacentral:rRNA from 1 species